rnacentral:rRNA from 1 species
GACGAACGCUGGCGGCGUGCUUAACACAUGCAAGUCGAGCGGUAAGGCCCUUUCGGGGGUACACGAGCGGCGAACGGGUGAGUAACACAUGGGUGACCUGCCCUCAGCUCUGGGAUAAGCCUGGGAAACCGGGUCUAAUACUGGAUAUGACUCCAUGACGCAUGUUGUGGGGUGGAAAGCCUUGUGCGGCUGAGGAUGGGCCCGCGGCCUAUCAGCUUGUUGGUGGGGUGAUGGCCUACCAAGGCGACGACGGGUAGCCGGCCUGAGAGGGCGACCGGCCACACUGGAACUGAGACACGGCCCAGACUCCUACGGGAGGCAGCAGUGGGGAAUCUUGCGCAAUGGGCGAAAGCCUGACGCAGCGACGCCGCGUGAGGGAUGACGGCCU